GAGGGUAUAGCUCAGUGGUAGAGUGCUUGCCUAGCAUGCAUGAGGUCCUGGAUUCAAUUCCCAGCACCUCCA
rnacentral:tRNA from 1 species